rnacentral:rRNA from 1 species
UACAGGGGGUGCAAACGUUGCUCGGAAUCAUUGGGCGUAAAGCGCACGUAGGCGGUUCGUUAUGUCGGAUGUGAAAGCCCUUGGCUUAACCGAGGAAGUGCAUCCGAAACUGGCGAGCUAGAGUACGAAAGAGGAUCGCGGAAUUCCCGGUGUAGAGGUGAAAUUCGUAGAUAUCGGGAGGAACACCGGUGGCGAAGGCGAGUUCCUGGACAGUUACUGACGCUGAGGCACGAAGGCCAGGGGAGCAAACGGG